AUUGAACGCUGGCGGCAUGCCUUACACAUGCAAGUCGAACGGCAGCACGGGAGCAAUCCUGGUGGCGAGUGGCGAACGGGUGAGUAAUACAUCGGAACGUGCCCAGUAAUGGGGGACAACUAGUUGAAAGAUUAGCUAAUACCGCAUACGACCUACGGGUGAAAGCAGGGGAUCGCAAGACCUUGCGUUAUUGGAGCGGCCGAUGUCAGAUUAGCUUGUUGGUGAGGUAAAAGCUCACCAAGGCGACGAUCUGUAGCUGGUCUGAGAGGACGACCAGCCACACUGGAACUGAGACACGGUCCAGACUCCUACGGGAGGCAGCAGUGGGGAAUUUUGGACAAUGGGCGAAAGCCUGAUCCAGCAAUGCCGCGUGCAGGAUGAAGGCCUCGGUUGUAACUAGCUUUGUACGGUAACGAACGGUAGAGCUCUAAUAAAGACUUGCUAAUGACGGUACCGUAAGAAUAAGACACCGGCUAACUACGUGCCAGC
rnacentral:rRNA from 1 species